AGCAUGGCAUCCUCAUCCUAUGUUCAUCUCAUCUCCUUAUUCUCAUGGGCUGUAGUCUACAUUUAGUCCAUAUAGCAUGGCAUCCUCAUCCUCUGUUCAUCUCAUUUCCUUAUUCUCAUGGGCUGCAGCCUUUGUUUCUUUUUACGCUACUUGUACCAUUAUCGCUAUCUUUCUAGUAGUCCAUUUUUACAUUAAGCAAAAGCCCAUUUUUAUUCCCAUCGGCUUAUUCCUAUCUCUCUUUGCUCUUGGAUUGGUUUUCCUAUCUCAUCGAAAGGGAAAGAAUACAAAAAAUGAAGCAAGUGUCAUUAAUAAUGGAGAUAUAUUUUCGAUAUGGAAUUAUGAUGGUAGGAUUGCAUAUGAAGACAUUAUUGAAGCAACAGAGGACUUCAACAUCAGAUACUGCAUCGGGACAGGAGGUUACGGUAGUGUUUAUAAAGCACAAUUGCCUAGUCGAAAAGUGGUUGCUUUAAAGAAACUUCACCAUUUGGAAGCUGAGGAGCCUGCAUUUGAUAAUAGUUUUAGGAAUGAGGUUCACAUGUUAACUCAUAUUCGACAUCGAAACAUUGUGAAGCUUCAUGGAUUUUGUCUACAUAAACGAUGCAUGUUUUUAAUUUAUGAGUACAUGGAAAGGGGGAGUUUAUUUUGUGCCUUGAGGGAUGAUGAUGAAGCGGUGAAACUAGAUUGGAUUAAGCGCAUCAACAUUGUUAAGGCAACAACACAUGCUCUAUCUUACAUGCACCACGAUUGCAUCCCACCGAUUGUUCAUCGAGACAUAUCAAGCAACAACCUUCUUUUGAACUCUCAAUUUGAGGCUUUAGUCUCAGACUUUGGCACUGCCAGGAAAUUAUACCCUGAUUCAUCUAAUCAAACAAUAGUUGCAGGCACUUAUGGAUAUAUUGCACCAGGAGGUCGACGUGGCCAACUUCCUUUAGGCACACAACUACAUCAUAUGAGGAUGUUCCGAUAUCCUCGAGAUCGGUGGAGCUCGUCGGUCCUAAUGCGGUGGCACCAUUGUCUGAGCCAUCGGCACCUCGGCCAGACAUGGAUACCACUUAUGCAACUAAUACGCAAGGUCAAGUUGUGGUGCUGCAAAGAACAUGUUGCUGAAGAAGCACCUGGAGAGGACAAAGUAGCGAAUUCGGAUCAACAUUCCUUUAGGUGACACCGCCCCGUUGAACGAUUGGUGCACCGUGUAGACGAGGGAGCUCGACAUUAUAUGCUGACAGUAUGCUCCAUUCAUGGCCUUCAGUUGUCUGCAAAUGACUCGGGAGCAGCGCAUGGUUCUUUACAUGCGCAUUUUGGAGGUGUUCGAUAUGGACAUCAUCUAGGAUGACCAUGUGAGGAGGGCAGUCAUCGUCCAAUUGUGUAAUAAAUUUAAAAGCUAUCGCUAAAAAAUGCACAAGCAUUUUCGAGUGAUGGGAGAUGAAGCAGAAGCACGACCAUACGAUAAGAUAUCCCAAGAUAAUUGGGAGGUGGUGUGUCGCCAUUUUUGCGACCCACGCUAUCAGGCCAUAUGUGAAACAAAUGUUGUGAAUCGCAGCAAACUCCCUAUGACGCAUUGUGGUGGAUCGAGGUUAUUCGUAAAUCAUCGACAACAUGAUCCCGAUACUGGCACAGAGGAGCCACUGAAGGAUCUUUAUCAGAGAACACACCAAUGGCGAUUGGGGGAGUGAUGCGAGGGUGAGCAGGACAGACAUGCACGGAUGGUCGAGCUGAGGGAUGCACCUGUUUCAGAGGGGAGUCACCACACGACAGAUUUCGAGAUCACUUCCUAGGUGCUUGGGUAACAAGCAAGGGGCUGGGUGAAAGGUCUUGGAAGUGGAUACAUCGCCCCAACAACAUCAUCAUCCAUGGGUGCGGUGGCUUGUGCAAACAUGGAACAAGAGUGUCAAGAGGUCGAGUAUCGUGUGCAGGAGAUGGCUCAACGGAUGCAGAUGGUGGAAAUGAAGAACGCACAAUUGAAAGACACAAUCUCCACCUUUCAAACCUAGCUACAAGCCAUGAUGAUUAGGCAAGCACAGUUUGAGGAAAUGAUGCACCAAUCUCGACCAGAUGAUGUGGGUGGCUCCUCUGAUUAUAAGAAAGUUCCAUUAGUGUUGCACUUUUUGGAUGCAUCAUCUUUGUGAAAGCAUCCUCCUUGUGAAUGUGCCUAAGCAUCCUCUUUGCAGAUUCAACCUCCUUUUGGAUGCAUCCUCCUUGUGGAUGCAUCUUCAUUUUCGAUGCAGCUUCCUUUUGAAUGGAUGGUCAUUUUGGAUGUGUGCUCCUUCUAAAUGCAUCCUCCUUAUGGAGCGGUCUUGCUUUUGGAUGUUGUUAUUUCUAAUUACUUGAUAUUGUUGCAUAAUGCGUACAUGUUUUUUUUUUUUUUUUUUUAUUGUUAUCAUAAUUGUAUAUCUUGUUUAGUUAAGAAAUUUUCAUAUGAUAGAUAUUCAUCUUGUAUGGAUGACAGCUUUUUACUUGUUGGAUAUUCUGAAUUUAAUGGAUACAUGUACUAUUGUUGUGAAUUGUUGAUUG